UCUAACGUGGCAGAUAAGUGCGGUGGAUUUAAGCUCCAUAAAUAAAGUUACAAACUUUCUUUAGAA
rnacentral:tRNA from 1 species